rnacentral:lncRNA from 1 species
UCGCACGUGGGCCCCGAAGACCGCGUGGCUCAGCCGAACCUGCCGCCGAGGCCCCGCCCGCAGCCUGCACACCUGGGCUGGAGAAGGGGCCUUCGGACGGCCGGCGCGCUCCUCGGGCACUGGUGCCCAGUCCUCAGGCCGAGGGCGCCGCUCUGUCGUCUCAGCAGUGGCCGGGCCAGACAAAGGAGUCGCCACCGAGGGGUUAAUCUGUCGCGCAUCCUUCUCCGCAGCUUGGAGUAGGAAAAUGCAGCCCCCUAAAAACAUUUCUUUGGUUCGCAAAUGGGGUAGGGUAUUGGCUGCCCUUCCUUGGACAGGGUUCUUGGGCCCCAGUCACUCGCUAACCAGACCACCCCCUCCCGCUGCGACACCUUCAUCCAUUUCUGAGAAUUAACUGACUCCAGGUUUGGGCCGGGGGCGCUGUGUUCUGGCCAGAAGUUGGGGGCCCUAAGGACUCUCCGCCGUUGCUCCCGAAGAGGGGUGUUCGGUGGACGGCCGGGAGGAGAUCGAUAAGUUCCGAAAUCCCCAGGAGGUCGUGGAGGAAGGUCGACAGGCCGGGUGAGCCCAACCAGAGGCGGCCGAGAAGGCAGAGGGAGGCCCGAUUUUUCUUCCCGCACGGAAGAAGGUCCGCCCAAGCGGGACUCUUCCUUUUCUGACACAGUCUUCA